rnacentral:rRNA from 1 species
CUACGGGGUGCAGCAGUGGGGAAUUUUGGACAAUGGGGGCAACCCUGAUCCAGCCAUGCCGCGUGAGUGAAGAAGGCCUUCGGGUUGUAAAGCUCUUUCAGCCGGGAAGAAAUUGCAUGGGUUAAUACCCUGUGCGGAUGACGGUACCGGAAUAAGAAGCACCGGCUAACUACGUGCCAGCAGCCGCGGUAAUACGUAGGGUGCGAGCGUUAAUCGGAAUUACUGGGCGUAAAGCGUGCGCAGGCGGAUGCUUAAGUCAGAUGUGAAAUCCCCGGGCUUAACCGGGGAAUUGCAUUUGAAACUGGGUGUCUAGAGUGCGUCAGAGGGGGGUGGAAUUCCACGUGUAGCAGUGAAAUGCGUAGAGAUGUGGAGGAACACCAAUGGCGAAGGCAACCCCCUGGGAUGACACUGACGCUCAUGCACGAAAGCGUGGGGAGCAAACAGGAUUAGAUACCCGCGUAGUC